UCGCAUCUGUGCAUGCAGCAUAUCAAUAAGCGGAGGAAAAGAAACUAACAAGGAUUCCCCUAGUAACGGCGAGUGAAGCGGGAAGAGCUCAAAUUUGAAAUCUUAAAGGGUUUCCCUUUACGAAUUGUAGUUUAAAGAAGUGUUUUCUGUUGAGGUUUGGUAAAAGUUCUUUGGAAUAGGACAUCAUAGAGGGUGAGAAUCCCGUAUUUGACCUUUACUUUCAACUUUGUGAUACACUUUCAAAGAGUCGGAUUGUUUGGGAAUGCAGUCCAAAAUGGGUGGUAAAUUUCAUCUAAAGCUAAAUAUUGGCGAGAGACCGAUAGCGAACAAGUACCGUGAGGGAAAGAUGAAAAGAACUUUGAAAAGAGAGUUAAACAGUACGUGAAAUUGUCAAAAGGGAAGCGUUUGACACCAGUGUUGUUUUUCUGAAAAUCAAUUAAAGAACUGUUUAUGCUAAGUUGUUUAGACUUUAUCAGCUAACUGUUUAGUUUUGAGCUUUUCUUUAAUGCACUUUUCAGUUAACAAGUCAACAUCAAUUUCUUUUGCUGUAAAAAAGCUUGAGGAAGGUGGCUUGAGAUUCGUCUUAAGUGUUUAUAGCCUCUUGCCUAUGCAGUCGGAGAGAUUGAGGUCUGCAGCGUAGAUCCUUCGGGGCUAAAUGCAUUUGUGCUAAGUUAUAACAUUUUAUAGACAACUUGUUGACUAUGAUUUGUCUUGUAGCUUACUCGCUUAUGUUAUUUUACCUACGCUUAGGAUGUUGAGCGCAUGUCUCUCUCU
rnacentral:rRNA from 1 species